AGUUAACGUUGGCGGCGUGCCUAACACAUGCAAGUCGAACGCGUCCUAAGGGCAACUUUAGGAUGAGUGGCGAACGGGUGAGUAUCACGUGGGUAAUCUUCCUUCAAGUGGGGAAUAAGCUCUCGAAAGGGAGUCUAAUACCGCAUGACAUUCCGGGACACAAGUCCCGUAAUCAAAGCCGCAAGGCGCUUGAAGAUGAGCCUGCGUCCUAUUAGCUAGUUGGUGGGGUAACGGCCUACCAAGGCUCAGAUGGGUAGCCGGCCUUAACGGGUGGUCGCCCACACUGGGAUUGAGAUACGGCCCAGACUCCUACGGGAGGCAGCAGUCGAGAAUAGUCUACAAUGGCCGGAAGGCUGAUAGUGCGACGCCGCGUGAACGAGGGAGCCCUUCGGGUGUAAAGUUCUUUUCUUAUACGAGCAGUGCUAUAUAUAUGGAUAGUAUAUAUAGAGGGAUAGUAGUAUAGGAAUAAGCAACGGCUAACUCCGUGCCAGCAGCCGCGGU
rnacentral:rRNA from 1 species